CGGGGCGUAGCGCAGCCCGGUAGCGCAUUGCGUUCGGGACGCAAGGGUCGGAGGUUCAAAUCCUCUCGCCCCGACCA
rnacentral:tRNA from 2 species